AUGCUUAAACUGGACAUUGUCAGUGCCUUUCACUCUGUUUCGUGGGGGUUCUUUAUUGAGCUGAUGCAACGACUGGGAUUCGGCCGCAAAUGGUGUGAUAUGAUCAGCCUGCUGUGGUGUUCAUCCUCUUCAAGGGUCAUGGUUAAUGACGAGCUGGGCGACAGAUUCUUCCAUCAGCGGGGCCUUAGGCAAGGAGAUCUGCUGUCUCUAAUGCUAUUCACGAUUGCAAUCGCGCCGCUACACUGGAUGUUGCUGAAGGCCAGCUCCUCCGGUCCCCUCUCGUGCUCGCGCCUUCCUCCCUCUCAACUGAGAGUGAGUCUUUAUGCAGACCACGCUGCACUGUUCGUAGCCCCAACAGCAAGAGAUAUUGAGGUCACAAGGCAAAUUCCAUGUGCUUUUGGUGAUGCUAGUGGUCUUCGGGCCAACCUGGCCAAGAGUGGAAUAUACCCAAUUGGGUGCUUGAACAUCUCUCGCCCCAUCAUCCUGCAGCAGUUUCCCAUACCUGUGUGCAAUUCCGCUGCAAAUACUUGGGCCUACCUCUGCACUUCAAGAAAAUUACAAUAG
rnacentral:rRNA from 1 species